UAUAUAUACCCACCAACCCUGACUCUAUUUUCCGCCGCUGAAGCAUCCGACGCGUCACGCCGCUCAAGUCUCCACGGCCGACGCCGUCACGCCGCACAAGUCUCCACAGCCACAGCCGACGCCGCUCAAGUCUCCACAGCCACAGCCGCCUCGUUCAGGCUCAUUGGUGAGGUUUUCGUGGACGUACCUACUAGCGCAUGCAGUACAAUCGCCGUUUUGUCACUGCUGCUGAGUGCGUAAUUCGUGGUUGUGUUCCCAAAAAGGUUUUGGUUUACGGAGCUUCUUUUGGAGGUGAAAUUGAGUUUUUUCAACUGUGUUGUGUGGGUGUUUCACCAUGUCAACUCAAAACUAUUUACCUUGCAAAAGAAAGAGCUUAGAAGAGGAGAUCAAUCAAUAUUCCGAGUCGUCAAAAAAAAUAUCGAUUGC